AUACGGAGGGUGCAAGCGUUAUUCGGAAUCACUGGGCGUAAAGGACGCGUAGGCGGGUUGGCAAGUCAGAUGUGAAAUCCUACAGCUUAACUGUAGAACUGCAUUUGAAACUGCUAACCUAGAGUAUGGGAAGGGGAGAUGGAAUUAGUGGUGUAGGGGUAAAAUCCGUAGAUAUCACUAGGAAUACCGAAAGCGAAGGCGAUCUCCUGGAACAUAACUGACGCUAAGGCGUGAAAGCGUGGGGAGCAAACAGGAUUAGAAACCCUUGUAGUCC
rnacentral:rRNA from 1 species